UACAGAGGUCUCAAGCGUUGUUCGGAAUUACUGGGCGUAAAGGGUGCGCAGGCCGCGCGGGCAGUCAAAUGUGUAAUUCAGGGGCUCAACCCCCUGCACUGCGCUUGAUACUUCCGCGCUCGAGCUUUGGAGAGGAGUCUGGAAUUCUCGGUGUAGCAGUGAAAUGCGUGGAUAUCGAGAAGAACACUUAGGGCGUAGGCAAGACUCUGGACAAAUGCUGACGCUCAUGCACGAAGGCUAGGGUGCGAACGGG
rnacentral:rRNA from 1 species